UUGGACCCACUCUUCCCUCUCCUGGUUGUCAUGUCAGUAGGGCAAAAGUGGGCCAAGACAGCUAGCGAGACACUCAUGCUAGCAGGGGCCCGCGAGCACGCGGUCACCGUGGACAAAGUGCUUUUCUUGUUUCGUUUUGUUCCACCUGCAAAGACGACCAGAAAAGCUUUGGCAAAGGACCUUGAAGUUUGUCUCAUUCGGACGUCCUGCGGAUAAAAGCGAGAAUUAGCGCCGGCGAGCGACAACGAGGAUGAGGUGAAGGACUUCACAAGACGACAAAUUCCCCAACCUUCACGAAGCCGCCCGGGAGAUUAGCGGGCGAUAGAGACAAUGAACAUCCCGUGUGGGCUGGCGAGCACUUAAUCUGCCUUGACGGCAUCUUCAUUUGAAUAAAGAUGCUGUCAGGCGGGCCCACACGAGCCAGCGCGAGGGAGGACCACGACGCCUGCCGAUGUUGCUGCUUCCCACCUGAGAAGAUGGGGGGUUGGGGUUGGGGU